rnacentral:rRNA from 1 species
CCUACGGGUGGCAGCAGUGGGGAAUAUUGCACAAUGGGGGAAACCCUGAUCCAGCGACGCCGCGUGAGGGAAGAAGGAAUUCGGUGUGGAAAGCUCUAUCAGCAGGGAAGAAAAUGACGGUACCUGAGUAAUAAGCCCCGGCUAACUACGUGCAGGCAGCCGCGGUAAUACGGAGGGGGCAAGCGUUAUCCGGAUUUACUGGGUGUAAAGGGAGCGUAGAGGGCAGUGCAAGUCUGGAGUGAAAGGCGGGGGCUCAACCCCCGGACUGCUAUGGAAACUGUACGGCUGGAGUGCAGGAGAGGUAGGUGGAAUUCGUAGUGUAGCGGUGAAAUGCGUAGAUAUUAGGAGGAACACCAGUGGCGAAGGCGGCUUACUGGACUGUCACUGACGUUGAGGCUCGAAAGCGUGGGGAGCAAACAGGAUUAGAUACCCGGGUAGUC